ACUUGAGAACAGAAAGACCUUGAUUUCAAAGAAGGAGAAAAAAAAAUCAACAACUUAAUCUCUCUAAUGCCUUAGACUCUGACAGAAAAAUUUGCAAUGAUGAAAAGAAGAAAGCAAAACAUAGAUGACUCGAACAAUUGUCCUCCAAACUACCAGCCUUUUCUUAUGGCAUCCAGCUCUUCUCUGUACUAGGUGAAAAGAGACGGUUGACAAUGUGGCAAAACGGAAUUGCCAUCUUUGGUGAUUAGCCAGUGCGCAUGCGCUGACUUCUCCUCAAGGACUCCUAAAGUAAAGAAUUUGGCCCUGCAAAAUCACUGCAAUAUUGACUCACUCAUCCUGUUCUUGGAAACACACAAGAGGUUUAAUGGUUAAGGGAAAGACAGACUCGUGUGGAAAAUUAAGGAGUAACAUGGAAAGUACCAUAACAGAAUUAAGAAGACAGCCUAGAGAGUUACAGAGGCUUCACUGAUAAGCUGUUACUUGCUUUGGGUAUUGUGAAGAGAAGGACAUGAGAUCAGAGGAAUGGGUAAAGUCUCAGAAGCAGAAGUCAAGAGCAUGCAUGGAAAAUAAUGAAGUCAUUCUUCAAAUCUCACUAAGAAGAGCCACAUCUACUCUGUCAGAACUUCCCUCUUUGGGUUCUCGACCACUCUGAACUGAACGUUAUCAUAUCUUUUGUUAGAUUCUUUGUACUUUUUUUUUUUUUUUUAAUUUUACCUCUCAGUCUCUCUAUACCUUUGAUGUGGGGAACCAGGAUGAUCUGGUAAUGAGUUCCUCGCAGGCAGGGACUCUGCCUUAUUUAUCUCAUGGCUUAGUUUGGUGCUGGUAAUUGGUAACUAUGUACUUGUACAAAUGCGUGAUACAUGUAAAAUGUAUGAACGAGUGAAUGACAUAGCUAAAAAGCAGCUUAUUUAAAAAAGUUUUGAAUCUAAGAAGAGGACAAGCAUAAAAAUAGUGAACAUGGGCUUGGGUAGCAAUAAUAACAUAAGGCUUGGUUUUUGAAUAUCUAGAAUCUUGUUAUUACAGAGAAGGAAGCAUGAGGAAACUGAGACUUGAGAUGGGAAAUGACUUGUUCACGACUUCACAACAAAUUUGUGACUGAAAUAGAACUUGAGGUUGGUGUUUAUGGUUUCAGUGAAAUGUGAUUUCUACAAAUUGUGCUACUGUUUGUACUGGUCAAGGCACAACUGUAUCAGACUGUACAGUUCUGAGGUGUAUCCAUUAAAGAAAUGUACUGACAAAGUAGGGUUUGUCCAAGGAUGGAUGAUGCAGAUGAGGGGGUACGUGAAAACCAUAUCAUAUGAUGACCAAAUAAAGAUACUGAGAAUGUCACCUGAGAAGAAAAUACCUGCAAAGGGGUUAUGGGGUGAUUGGGAAAACUUAAUAGCAGUUUCCAAUACUUGAAAUACUUAUUAUUCCUUUGCUCCAGAGAAGAAAUAUAGGAAUAAAAAGAAAAACAUGAAUCAAAGCUAUAGUGACAUAAAGUUCAAAUCUAUCUAAGAAAAAAUGCUCUCAAAAUUAGAAUUCUCCAAGAAUGAAAUUUUAAAUUAUAUAAAAUAUGCAAAUAAAGCCUGGAAGAUAAUAUGUCAGGUUAUAUCACGAGUGCCUUUUGAGUUGAGAUCAUGUUUUAUAUAUUUCCCUAGAGCCUUGAAAGUGCCUGGUACUUAAGAAUCAAUGUGAAUCCUUUAAAAAGGAUUUCUUCAUGGAUGGGUGAGCAUGAGGUGAAAAGGAAUGUACUGUGCUACUAACUCCAAGGACUUUUCCAACACUUAGGUUUAUGAUCCUUUGAUAAAAAUUGAUGCAAAGUAAUGUAUCAAUAUAUAAUAAAGAAGUCAUUUCAUGCUUACAAGUGAAAAUCAGUGAAAUUAUUUCUUUUAAACUCUACUAAAAUCUGUGAUGUUGGGCCUUCCUGGUGGUGCAAGAAGUUAAGCAUAGUGCUGUGAAGCUAUCCACAGCCUCUGCAGAGAGUUCGAUCCCUGCCAGCCAGGGAGCUACCCACAUGGCGCAGCAGACCUCUCCUGUCUUGCCCACUGCUCCCUUCAGCAGUGUAUUUCAGUCAGUCUACCUGUUCUGUUCCCUCCUCUGUCUCUGGUGAAUCCUCUCACUCCCGAUAUCUCUGGCCUGUACCCCAGCUCUUGU